GCCAUAUACAUGGUGGGAUUGUAGUUCAAUCGGUUAGAGCACCGCCCUGUCAAGGCGGAAGCUGCGGGUUCGAGCCCCGUCAGUCCCG
rnacentral:tRNA from 1 species